rnacentral:tRNA from 2 species
GGGCCUGUAGCUCAGUUGGUUAGAGCGCACCCCUGAUAAGGGUGAGGUCGAUGGUUCGACUCCAUUCAGGCCCA